CAGAACUCUGAUCCACAUUUUCCUCCAAAUUCUCUUCGUUACUCCCUAGUCUCCUCUUCACCUCCUCCGAUUCUGUUACUUUCCCAAUUGGCUGAUCCAUCUCUUGCUUUUGCUUGUGUAAAGCCUCCGAAAUCACUUCAGAUAAUGCCCUGUCUUCGUCCCCAGGUCUCAAUUUCUCUGCAAAAUAGUCCUUUACGGAGACCCCUUUAUCUUGCCCCUUAACGUUAUUCGCUCCUUCACUGCCAAUGCUACCACCGAUUCCAGGGACUUUCGACAUCACGAUGUUGCUUGUCUCGGCAACUUUCUCGUAAACAGGUGAGAGUUUUUCUGUCACAGUUGCUGCGACUUUCUUCCCGUAUUCAACUGGUGAUGAGGCCAGGUUGGUCUUUCGUUGUUCUUCUCCUACAUGCAUUUCAUGUUCUUUAUUAUUGUUCUCUUGAUAUCCAAUUUUGGAAGCUAUAACAUUCUUUGCAGAUAUCGCUUUAUCAGCAAUUGCGGAAGUGGCAGAAUAUAUUUUCUCUUUAUAGCUGCCCUGUUUCGAUGCAUCAGGAGUCUCUGAAACGGAACGAGAGCUAUCAUGGGAGUCUACAGGCAUCGG
rnacentral:lncRNA from 1 species